CAAUGCUAAGGGGAGAUGCUGUGAAAGCACCCGCACCCGGUCUCUCCAUGUGCACUAAGUGCUGAAAAACAUGUCGCGCAACUGCUUUUUUGUGCAUGCCCAGCGCUGCUCUGUCUCGCCAUCUUCAGGGUGCUUACUGGUGUGGUGCCCAGCACGCCAGCCCUGCUCCAGCGUGGCUGCAUUCCUUUCGUCAGCCUUCUGCGCGUACAAGUCCAGAGCGGGGCUGUGUGGGCAGGGGUGUUGCCAUAGGAUGGCUUUUGAGCACAGUCCCCUAUGGCAGAGAGUUGCCCUGAGCCUCUCUGAGCUUUCUUUUUUCUGUCAUCCCAUGUUUAUAAAGGAAGUGAAGUGAUGUGGCUGGAAAGAGUGGGAGCUGUGCUGCUUGUGGCAGUGAGGGUCUGACUCAUGGUUUUGAUGUUCUCUGACUCACGAUUUUAAAUCUUUCAGGUUGGAAAUACUGCACUGCUUCACAAAACGGACUUCAGACAGGCAGAGAUGGCUGGGGGACAGUAGUCUUGCACAGGGACCCUGGCUGACUGGGGGAGUGCUGGCAGGAGCUACUUUCCUGGACCCAUGAGACACCCUUCCCUCUUCUCCCCCACCCCGGCCUGUUGUGUGGAGAGUACCUGUAGCUGAUACCUGCUUCACUGCUGGCAUAAGGUCUUGGGCAGAACUCAUACAGCCCACAAUGUGUCCAUACAUCUCCUCUUUAUCUUGAGAGACACCCUAAACACUAGCAAGCGCCAAGACAAAUUGAAGCAUCCAGCCUAAGGAAACAAGCACAUGGUGGAGUCCAUAUGUUUUAAAAUUAGGCUCAUCUUUGUUUAUAACGAUAUGGCCCUGUAAUAAAUGAAUAUGUAGCA